rnacentral:lncRNA from 1 species
AUAAACUCAAUGUAUACACAAACCAACCUCGUCUACAAGCAUAGCAAUACUAUAACUACCACGAUCUGCAUUGACGGGUGAUAGCUCAACAAUAUAGCAAAAUAAUAUAGUAACCCUAUACAUGCAUAUAUUCAUAGUGUGAUAUAACUACAUGCAUAGAAAACAAUAGGUAAAGGAUGAUCAACAUGUAGCUUGCCUGUAUGUUUGAUGAAGUUUGUCGCACUCACAAUUCCUGAUAAUUCUACUCGUCAUGCUCCGAGCAAUCUCUUGUUGAUGAAAGAACUCAAAUCAAUAACCAUGCCAUAUAGAAGAGCCAAAAGAACAAAAAAAAUUUGGCAAGGUUGAACAAUAACAAUACAUAUGGGCUCAAUAUUAUAAUAUGGGUUUGGAUGUGCUAUAAGGUGACAAGGGAAAGGAUCAACUCACAAGAGUUAAUACAGAAAGAGAUAUUGCUAUAAAAGCUUAUGUUUGAGAUAAUAUAGAACAAGGUCAAAAGUAUUUGGAGAACAACAUAGAAGUUGUUUGACAUAUUCAUAUGACAUACAAAUUCAUUUGAAGAAAGAGUUAAUCGAAAAGAAAUACUACAACACAAGUUAUAGCGAAUGAGAGUUUGAAUUAAAAUUAAAUUCAAACAUGUCAAAAGUAUUUGAAUAUGAAUGUACAUAGUAUGUUUAUCAAUUAUUUGAUGCAAUUGUCAAUAGCCAAAAGGAAUCAAUUGAAUAUAAUAUACCGUUUACAAGAUAUAUGGCCUUCGGAAGGUGGACUUCAAAUUCAAACAAACUCAAAUUUGAAUAGUGCAAACAUGUGAAAAUUUGGUCUUGUCAUAUUCUCCUGGUCACUAGUUUAUAGGAAAAAGAAUCACCUAAUUCGGAUAUUUAGAAUAAAAGAUAUGGCUAACUGAAGUUUUGGUUGAAAAUCUAAAAAUAACAAAAAUAACAACAGAAAGCUCCUGAUCUCAAAACCCUGUAACAGCUCUUGUAGCCUUGUCACGUGUCGGCGCCUGAUUGGAUGAAAACUCCUGCGUGCAUGUGUGCUUACCAGAAGCAGGGGAAGCGGCGGCGGGUCGGGGAUCGGUGACGGCGACUCUCCGGCGAUCCUCCGGCGAGGGUGAAGGGGCGGGCGGAUGCGGCUUUGAGCGGCGGAGGUAGCGGUGACCGAAACGACGACGGGGGUGUCCUGUGCGACGGCGAUGAAGACGUGCACGACGGCUGCCCAGGAGCUUCGGCUCGGCAGCGGCUGGUUGCUCCGGUGUGCCCCUACGCGAGAGAUAAGGUGAGGGAGAGAGAAGAGUUCAAGGAGAAGAGUACAGAGGGAAAGGGAGGCGCUAGAAACCUCGGUUGGCGACGAACUCGACGGGCUACAGAAGUUUCAGGCGGCAGACUCUGGCAAGAUCGGCGAGCAAGAAAUCGGCGCGGAUCUGGAGCGGCGAUGUUGGGAAUCAGACAAGGGAAUCGAGACGAGUCUCCCCGCGGCCACAGAUCGGAGAGGGGGUUAGGGGAAAGCGCCAAUCUCGCGUGGUCCGAUCCAAGCCGUGGUGGCGUUGACGUGUGGGAGCUGGAGACCGACUUGGGGAGG